GAAAACUGCUAAGAUACAUUGGAUCUGGAACAACACGGGAGUAUAUUUAGGUUGAAAUCCCAACCUCCAAUGAGAUGGUAUUAGGAAGUAGUAUCUUUGGGGAAUUGAGCAGAUCAUGACAUUGGAGCUGUCAUUACAGGAUUAGUAACUUAUAAGAAAAAGUCAUCUCUCUUGACCAUGUGAAGAGUCAACCAGAAGACAGCCAUCUGCACACUUGGAAGCUGGCAUUCACCAGAUACCAGACUAUGCAGCCCUUUGAUAUUGGACUUGCCAACCUCUAGAACUAUAAGAAAUAAGUGCUCAUUGCUUCGGACACCCAGGCUGUUGUAGCAGUCUGAACUGAAAAUAACACUAGGAAUUGGCUUCAGGAGUUGAAUGCUGUCUACAGCAUGCAGCUGGAACUGCAUCUCCAAGUGAAGUUUAGCACAGAAGUCCAAGUUCCAUGAGCUCUAGUAAGAUUUUCCCUUUUGAGUCAGCUGAGACUCUCUCUCCUCCACAACAAUAGUAUCUUGUAGUGGCACAUCUUGCCAUGGCUGUGAUCUGUUAUCAAGUAAUUUGGACAUAACUAUGUAUGACCUUAAUCUCUAUCAUGUUAAACUUGGUGGAAGACCAAAAGCAGUUGUAUGAAUUCAUAGAAUUCUGGGAAUCUUGUUUCUGUCACUCAACUUCAAAAUAAGAAAAACUUGCACAAAAAAUGUUCAUGACAACUUCAUUCAUAAUAGCCCAAAAUGUGGAGUCAACCAAUGUAUCCUUCAAAGAUCAAUGGAUAAACAAAUUCUGAUACAUUCAUGUGAUAGAAUAUUAUUCACUGAUAAAAAAUGAGCUAUCAAGCCAUGAAAGACAAUGGAGGAACCUUGAAUGCAUAUUGGACAGUUCGCAUGGCUGUUCUCACCAGCAGGAUCUGAUUUUCCCGAAGCAGUGACUUCCUAGGAGCCUUCAGAGAAAAGGGAGCAGAAAACCAAAACUCAUACCUAUACCCAAAUCAUGAUCUAAAGUUGUAUUCUUCAUAUGUUGACAUGCUUAUUGACUGCCUCCUCCAUUAAAAUGGAUUUUCUUUCAUGAGGACAAAAGACUGUUGUGUUCACCAGUGAAGCUCCUCUUCACAGAAUACUACCCACUAAGAGCCAGAAGUCACAUGGUACCAGAUCUGAAUAAGAUGGAUAAGGACAUAUCAUAAUGCUUUUACAAGCCUGCUUUUCCAUUGGGAAGCAGUCAGCAGGCACAUUUACCAUUUUUGGAUAACACACUGUGAAGACACUAAAAAGGACUUCCAGAACUGCUUCAGAAAGUGACAAGAAUUAUGAGAUAAGUUUGUUCAAAGUAAGGGGGGCAUAUUCUGAAGGGAAUUAAC
rnacentral:lncRNA from 1 species